rnacentral:rRNA from 1 species
UACGUAUGGUGCAAGCGUUAUCCGGAUUUACUGGGUGUAAAGGGAGCGUAGACGGCAUGGCAAGCCAGAUGUGAAAGGUAUGGGCUCAACCCGUAAACUGCAUUUGGAACUGUCAGGCUAGAGUGUCGGAGAGGUAAGUGGAAUUCCUAGUGUAGCGGUGAAAUGCGUAGAUAUUAGGAGGAACACCGGUGGCGAAGGCGGCUUACUGGACGAUAACUGACGUUGAGGCUCGAAAGCGUGGGGAG